GGCUUGUUGUAUUGGUGAAGUUUGUUCUAGGCUUUGUCCGCCUUUUUCUUUCAUUUCGUCGCAACUCGCCGAGCUGUAAAGAGUUUCUUUCUUGGGAACAAUAUUCUCUUCAUAACUUCGCGUUACUUCUAUCCAGCCUCACCGUGCCCAGUGAAGACGAUCGGUGUAAUAUUCUCCGUGGCGUGAGAUAAUGGCGUACCAGACGAAGGCUGCCGGAAACAUUCUACUCUACCAAUCUGAUACAUUUUGUUGCCGUACCAUGGAGCGCCCCGCUACGAAAGCAGGCGGCCUUCUCGUAUGGCAACAAAAUUAUCAGAAAUUUAAGUGGUUGUUUCAUGACGAUGAUCCACAUUACUUUAAGGCGCACGAAUACUGUUAAACAUAGCGAGAAUUCGAAGGAAAAUGAACUAGAUUUGGAACUACACUGACAUGUGAAUUAUGAAAUGAAUUUGUGUGCGCAACUGCUUUCUGAAUUGUGAAGAAGAAAUACAAGAAUUUUAGAAACGAA